rnacentral:rRNA from 1 species
UGGUUUUCCAGGCAAAUCCGGAAAAUCAAGGCUGAGGCGUGACGACGAGGCACUACGGUGCUGAAGCAACAAAUGCCCUGCUUCCAGGAAAAGCCUCUAAGCAUCAGGUAACAUCAAAUCGUACCCCAAACCGACACAGGUGGUCAGGUAGAGAAUACCAAGGCGCUUGAGAGAACUCGGGUGAAGGAACUAGGCAAAAUGGUGCCGUAACUUCGGGAGAAGGCACGCUGACACGUAGGUGAAGUGAUUUACUCAUGGAGCUGAAGUCAGUCGAAGAUACCAGCUGGCUGCAACUGUUUAUUAAAAACACAGCACUGUGCAAACACGAAAGUGGACGUAUACGGUGUGACGCCUGCCCGGUGCCGGAAGGUUAAUUGAUGGGGUCAGCGCAAGCGAAGCUCCUGAUCGAAGCCCCGGUAAACGGCGGCCGUAACUAUAACGGUCCUAAGGUAGCGAAAUUCCUUGUCGGGUAAGUUCCGACCUGCACGAAUGGCGUAAUGAUGGCCAGGCUGUCUCCACCCGAGACUCAGUGAAAUUGAACUCGCUGUGAAGAUGCAGUGUACCCGCGGCAAGACGGAAAGACCCCGUGAACCUUUACUAUAGCUUGACACUGAACAUUGAGCCUUGAUGUGUAGGAUAGGUGGGAGGCUUUGAAGCGUGGACGCCAGUCUGCGUGGAGCCGACCUUGAAAUACCACCCUUUAAUGUUUGAUGUUCUAACGUGGACCCGUAAUCCGGGUUGCGGACAGUGUCUGGUGGGUAGUUUGACUGGGGCGGUCUCCUCCUAAAGAGUAACGGAGGAGCACGAAGGUUGGCUAAUCCUGGUCGGACAUCAGGAGGUUAGUGCAAUGGCAUAAGCCAGCUUGACUGCGAGCGUGACGGCGCGAGCAGGUGCGAAAGCAGGUCAUAGUGAUCCGGUGGUUCUGAAUGGAAGGGCCAUCGCUCAACGGAUAAAAGGUACUCCGGGGAUAACAGGCUGAUACCGCCCAAGAGUUCAUAUCGACGGCGGUGUUUGGCACCUCGAUGUCGGCUCAUCACAUCCUGGGGCUGAAGUAGGUCCCAAGGGUAUGGCUGUUCGCCAUUUAAAGUGGUACGCGAGCUGGGUUUAGAACGUCGUGAGACAGUUCGGUCCCUAUCUGCCGUGGGCGCUGGAGAACUGAGGGGGGCUGCUCCUAGUACGAGAGGACCGGAGUGGACGCAUCACUGGUGUUCGGGUUGUCAUGCCAAUGGCACUGCCCGGUAGCUAAAUGCGGAAGAGAUAAGUGCUGAAAGCAUCUAAGCACGAAACUUGCCCCGA